rnacentral:rRNA from 1 species
AAAAAGCGGAGGAAAAGAAACCAACAGGGAUUGCCUUAGUAGCGGCGAGUGAAGCGGCAAAAGCUCAAAUUUGAAAUCUGGCUCUUUCAGAGUCCGAGUUGUAAUUUGAAGAAGGUAUCUUUGGGUCUGGCUCUUGUCUAUGUUUCUUGGAACAGAACGUCACAGAGGGUGAGAAUCCCGUGCGAUGAGAUGAUCCAGGCCUAUGUAAAGUUCCUUCGAAGAGUCGAGUUGUUUGGGAAUGCAGCUCUAAGUGGGUGGUAAAUUCCAUCUAAAGCUAAAUAUUGGCGAGAGACCGAUAGCGAACAAGUACAGUGAUGGAAAGAUGAAAAGAACUUUGAAAAGAGAGUGAAAAAGUACGUGAAAUUGUUGAAAGGGAAGGGCUUGAGAUCAGACUUGGUAUUUUGUAUGUUACUUCUUCGGGGGUGGCCUCUACAGUUUAUCGGGCCAGCAUCAGUUUGGGCGGUAGGAGAAUUGCGUUGGAAUGUGGCACGGCUUCGGUUGUGUGUUAUAGCCUUCGUCGAUACUGCCAGCCUAGACUGAGGACUGCGGUUUAUACCUAGGAUGUUGGCAUAAUGAUCUUAAGUCGCCCGUCUUGAACACGGAACCC